GGGUACUGCUCUACGUGGUGCGCAAGGAUAUCUGGCCCCACAGCACUGCCUAGUCCUCGGAGAUUACUUGCCUCAGCACAGGGGAAUGAUAAGAAGCCGUCUCAACCCAGUACUCCUGUGUUGGCUAAACAUGAUACAAAAUGUGAUAUCCGCCUGACGUCAUCCCUGCAAUCACCCCUUCUCAUGCCGUGCUGCAGAAACUCGUUCUUAAUCCUCUGGACUAGACUGGAUUAAACUCUCCUGGCUGUGCUAAUAGAGCUGGCUCCAGUCACCAAGGCAACUGCAGGCUCCUCAGCCCCCGCAAGGAGCGCACCCACACGGUGAGGUGAAGAUCCUGGCUCCAGCACACCAGUCCUGCAAUCCACACACUUCAUUUGUACGUUGUGCUUUUUUAUUUAGCUGUAUCCUGCUUGUGGCAGAGCAUCUGUAUGGCCCUUCAGAAGAUCCAGGACCAGGUAUGAGAGAUCCUGUGCCUACUGUGAUGAGAACCAAUGGGCUUCUGGGACACCUGCUGGUGGACUGGUGCUUGACACACAAGGUCCUGAGAAGUUCAGGCCUGCACAAGGAACAUAUCCAAACUCCAGAGCUUGGAUUAAACGUCUCCUAGUUCUCUUAGUGAAUAUCUGUGAUGAACAAUACAGACUGAGGGUAAAUCAGAUCUUGAAUAUAGGUUCAAACCUAAACCAAACUCCCUAUAUAUUAUGGUUUACACAGAGCCCAGCCACCACUAGAGGGAACAGAAGGCCACAAUGAAUGACAAAAUUACAAGUUCACACUCUAAAAUGAAUGCAGUCGAUGAGAAAAUACUAGCAGACAUUCUCCAUUAGAAGUGGAGAUGAAAUAUAAACAUCUGAUCUGGUAAGAGGAGGAAGUGGAGACUGGAAAUGGAGAACAAGGGGUUUUGUAUUUUUGCCUGUCCUCCAAGCACCAACUCCUCCUAAAGGCAGAGGAUUUUAAAAAGACACCUUUCAUCCAAGUCUCCUUGAAGCUGUUGAUAGGAAAUUAGGCAAAGCUACAGGCUAGGACAGCAUCUAUUUGGUGGAAAAGAAGAUAUCACCUUUUUUGUGUGUAUCAAAAAGAGCUUACAAGCAUCCCAAACCCUCUCUUUGCAAUAGGCAUAUGUUGCACAUGGAAGCAGAACCAGCUGGGUUUGCUGUCUUGGGCUCACUCCUGGGUGCUCUGUGAACACUUAGCUCUGCUCUGGGCUGCAGAGUCCAGCCAUCCUUGUCAUGCACAACAGUGGAAAAAGAAAAAAACAGUAUGACCAGGUAGAAAGUGGAAGUCAAUUUUUUCCCAAGAGGUUAGAAAUAACCUCUGCUUCAGCAGCCAGUUAUCCAGAACUGAGAGAAAUGGGAACUCACAAUUGAGACUAAACAGUACAAAUCCCUGCAAGCCCUUUCCUGUCCUCAGGGUUAGCAAGGAAAGGGCUUCACCAGUCCCUGACGCUGACUGUUCCUUUGGUAUGUGCUGGGACAAGAGCAGGGUGCCUUGCUGGGUACCCUGAUUCCAGGCACUUCACAGCAGCCCUCCUGCUGGCUGUGGUGCAGAGCAGCCAGGAGGCAAAACGGAUACAGGGCAGAGCAGUCCUCACAUGGUAAUUCACCCUCAAGUUUAAGGUCAGCUGAAUAGCAGUGUGGGAAGGAAUUGCACUCUUACUGCCUCUUGUGUCAGUCAUUUCAUCUUAUGUUCAAGUCUUCCCUUUCCUAGCUCAUGGAUUUAUAUGCCUUCAUCCUCUGUUUUACUAUGUCAGGAAAACUGCACUGACUUCCAAAGACUUGCUCCUGAUUCACACUGCUACAAUCAAAAGGAGAAGCAGGACUCCACAUUAUUGUUCCCAGGGAUGAAUCCUGAAGGUCUCUUGAUCUGUGGAGCAGCUACAAGGAAAUUUGUAGUACGAACAGUCCCAUUACUGCCUUUUGUCCAUAUGAGUCCUCUUGAUCCUGUUAACUGCUAUUAACCUAUUUCCUAAGAAAUACACUUUCUUAUCUUUCGGCCAGAA